GGCGGCGUAGCUCAGUUGGUCAGAGCAUUCGGCUCAUAAUCGAAAGGUCAUCGGUUCGAUCCCGAUCGCCGCUA
rnacentral:tRNA from 2 species